CUGUCAUUUGCCAAAACCGAACCGGUUGACUUCAUCCACCGGCUCCGACUGGCUGUCGCAUGAAUAGAUCCUGGAGAUGGCACUUCAACGUUCAACCCUUCUCUUCAUCUAUGGCAAACAUAAAAACACACAGGACCCAUUAAGAAUUCGAAUCUCAUCACUGCACCGUUGUUCGUCGUAAUGCCAAUUGGGCCAGCUCUACGUCACAGAGGAAGGCACUUGCCGAGUUUAACCCUAUAAUUUUUAGCAAAUAAUCAUCAAAAUAUCACUCUCGUUACUCCAGUGAUAGGGGGAAAGAAAACAAAGGACAAAACAGCAGACCAUUUUCUUUGAAUUUGCCGCAUUCAACCCAUUAGCACAGUCACAGCCGAAGACUGCGACUUUAGUUGGGACAAGGUGCCUACUGUUAGAAAGAACGUGUACAUGUGUAUGGCACGAUAGAACAAAUGAAGCAAAGCGCCAAUCAGCGGAGAAAGAUACCUAACUCUGCUGGAAAUUGAGGGAGCAUUACCCUCGA